AGAAAAGAAAUCAACUGUCCAUUCAUCCAUCCAGUGAUUAGACACUAGAUGCCAACUGCACAUGAAACACACCAAGUUCAAAGAGUCACUUUAAUUCAGUGACAAAAUUACUGUAAAUCGUUAAGUUUAUAGCUAAUCAGCCAACAUAGGUGAAGAGAAUAAUAAAAUGUAUUCCAGUGAAAUGAAAUAAUGCAGAUAAAGAGAAAAUAGAGCAUAGGUGGGAACAACUAGAAAAUAGGUCAACUUUAGAUUUAAUCCCAAUCAUAUUAGUAAUGAAGUAUAACUUGCUUCCCCAGCCACUUGAAAAUGUUAGUAGCGAGAUGCACUGGAAAACUAGAAAUUGCUAGGAUGUAGUCUAUGUAAGGCUCCGGCAAAUGUUGCUUACAAGAAACUUAACUCUUGGGGGUGUGUGUUAAAAAUUGGCAAAAAUAUACUUUAUAUUGCACACAUUCUGUAUGUUUAUGGUAUAUAAUAUUUAUACUAUGAAAUAUGCAUAUAAUGGAAAAUUCUUAGAUUUAGAUAAUUAAUCAGUAUUCCUCAUUUUUGUGGCAAGAAUAUUGAACAUCUAACAGUCUCCAAGUGUGCAAUGUGUUGUGAUUAGCUACAGCUGCCCUGACUUAUUAGAUCUCUUGAAGCAAUUCUUUCUGACUGAUACUUUGUGUCCUAGGUCUAACAACCUCCAUCUCCCCUAGCUCCUGUCUCUAAUAAGCACCAUGUUGCUCUCUGCCGUAUGAGCUCAGCUCUAUCAGUUGCCCCAUGUACAUGAGAUCCAGCAGUGUUUGCCUUUUUGGGUUUGGUUUAUCCCACUUAAUGCUUUCAGGCUCAUCCCAGAACCAUAAGGAAAGGCUCUCCUUUGCAGUAGCAUCCCACUGUGUGGCUACACAUUUCCUUUCUCCUGUCAUCAGCUGAGAGGCACCCGGACUGCUUACUUAGCUUGGCAGCUAUGAAUAAUGAUACUUGGGAUAUAGGAUUGCAGGUGUCUCUGUAAAAUACCUGUUUUGUUCCCAUUGGUUACAUUGUAUUCAUCCAUCUGCUUAUUUCAGGAGAGAAGCAUUCACGGGCACAGAGAUCGAGGAUGGCUUAUAGGAGUCUGCUCUCUUCGUUCACUUGUGGGUCCUAGAGCUUGAGCCCGGAUCACCAGGCAUGGCAGCAAGUGCUUUCCCUACUCAGGGUCUUUCUGCCCCUUGACUGACCUCAUGCUCACUGCUGCAUCUGCUGCAUCUGCUGCAUCUGCUGCAUCUGCUGCAUCUGCUGCAUAUUAUGGUCGUUCUGUUUAGAUUUUGAUUUUUUUGGAGAAACUUUCAUGCUAUUUUCUAUCACCUCUGUAUAAAUUUACAUUUCUACCAACAGAAUAUCAGGGUCUGCUUUUCUUUGCAUGCUUGUCAAAACCUAUUUUUAAAAAAUAGUAAUCAUUGGGUGGGUAGGGGAGUGGGGGUGGGCGGCUAUGGGGAACUUUUGGUAUAGCAUUGGAAAUGUAAAUGAGCUAAAUACCUAAUAAAAAAUGGAAAAAAAUAAAAAAAAUCACUCUAUUUCACUGUGAAAAAAAAACACUAAACACAAUCCUUCAGUGGCAUAAUAUCUUUAUUAUUAGAGAGUUUCAUACCUGCUUGCCUUGUAUUUUGCUUAUAUUCACCCCCACUUCCCCAACGCUUUCCAGAUCUACCCUCACCUUUCCAACUUC
rnacentral:lncRNA from 1 species